AACACUGUUAACCUGCGGUACCUGCGGAAGGAUCAUUACCGAGUUUACAACUCCCAAACCCAUGUGAACAUACCUAUCGUUGCUUCGGCGGGAUCGCCCCGGGCGCCUCGUGUGCCCCGGAUCCGGCGCCCGCCUAGGAACCUUAACUCUUGUUUUAUUUUGGAAUCUUCUGAGUAGUUUUUACAAAUAAAUAAAAACUUUCAACAAUGGAUCU
rnacentral:misc_RNA from 1 species